rnacentral:rRNA from 1 species
AUUGAACGCUGGCGGCAUGCCUUACACAUGCAAGUCGAACGGCAGCACGGGAGCAAUCCUGGUGGCGAGCGGCGAACGGGUGAGUAAUAUAUCGGAACGUGCCCAGUCGUGGGGGAUAACGCAGCGAAAGCUGUGCUAAUACCGCAUACGAUCUACGGAUGAAAGCGGGGGAUCGCAAGACCUCGCGCGAUUGGAGCGGCCGAUAUCAGAUUAGCUAGUUGGUGGGGUAAAGGCCCACCAAGGCGACGAUCUGUAGCUGGUCUGAGAGGACGACCAGCCACACUGGAACUGAGACACGGUCCAGACUCCUACGGGAGGCAGCAGUGGGGAAUUUUGGACAAUGGGCGCAAGCCUGAUCCAGCAAUGCCGCGUGCAGGAUGAAGGCCUUCGGGUCGUAAACUGCUUUUGUACGGAACGAAACGGCCCUUUCUAAUACAGGGGGCUAAUGACGGUACCGUAAGAAUAAGCACCGGCUAACUACGUGCCAGCCGCCGCGGUAA